AAACUUACUUUUAUUUAAGAUGAUUGAAAUACAAGAUUGAAAUACAACACAAAGAUUAAAGUUUUUAGAGAGUUUGUAGUGCAGGGAAUUUUCUAGAGAAGUCUCGCUGAAAAUCGCUCUGCCUUUUACAAAGCUUGAUUCCUUAUUUAUACUAACUUGAUGGAAAGAGUUUAUGAUAGGCGUGUCCUUGUCUUGAGGCCUUGAGUGAUGAGUAAUCUUGAUUUUAUGAGGCGUCCUUCUUUAUGGAUGAGUAGUGUGUAUGUUGCCGUAACUGUUGAACUUGUCUUGAUUGUUGAUUUUGGUCUUGAUGGCUUUGAGCUGAAGCAUGCUUUGUUGAAACUUGAGUCUGCAGAGUUUUGAUUAUCUUGUUUAUUGUUUUCUUGUUUUGUCGGUUUCUUCUUCUUCUUCUUUUUUUUCUAAUUAUUAUUAUGUUUCGUAUGGGUCUUGUGAUUAUAAGGGUCCACCGUAUGGGUCUUCGGGUUGUGUAUCGGUUUCUUGAGUGAUUUCUUCUUCUUCGUCGGAGGAUAUUUGCAUAGCAAGUGCUUCUAAGAUCUUCUUGAGUUUGUCCUUUCUUUUUGAUUUCUUUGAUCCGGAGGAUGAUGUUGUUGAUUCUGUUGGGCUUGGUGGUUUUUUGGUUGGAAGGUUUUUUGUUUGUAUGGGUGGUAGAGAUCUGGAUACAGUCGCCACAGAUUGUUUAAUUUGUUGAUGGGUUUGGAUCCAUUUUUUUAAGUUGGUAACAGAACAGCGGUCUAAGUUGUAUUUAUCCCACCAUUUUACUCGGUAAUCUCGGACUAAAGAGUAUGGCAUAUUUGGUAGGAAGGAAACAAGGUUAAAGUGCCAAGAUAGUAUCCAAGGUAUACCCAUGUCAAUGUGGAAAGCUAUUUUUGGUAAAGGACCUAUGGGUGAGUGUUUUUCGUGUUUGGUAUAGUAGGAUAAGGAUACUUUUGGUAUUUGGGUUGGAUAGAUUUCGUCACAUGGUCCAAACCAGUGCCACCAUUCAUAGAACCAGCCUGGUAUUGACUUAGGGCAAUGGAAGUCAAAGGAUAUGAACCAAGAAUGGUUGUAAGUUCGUAGGUAUAGGGCAUGGCGAAAAGCUUUUUGGUAGUCUACAUAAGAAAAUCCCGGAAUAUGAUAUCCUGAAACAGAGAAGUCUUUGGUGGUAUGGAGGUUCAUAAAUCCGAGGUCUGAGGCAGUACAUACUUUCAGGAUCUUGAAUGUGGAGUAGGAGAUAAGGUUUGGGUUGGUUUCAUCAGUGUGAUGCGUAAUCUCUACUGAUUUGGUGUCUACAAGUAUAAACUCAUAAAAGGUAUGGUUUUUGUUUAGGUUAUCAGUGAGGUAUUGGCUAUCUUCAUAGAAAAGACGGUUGGUAAGAGUGUUUAAAUCUUUGAGGGUUAUGGAGCUGGUGAAUGAGGUAGUAGUUAAAUGUUGGCGUUGUGGCUUAAGGAAAUAGGUGGCUUUUUGGUCUGUAGGUUUUUGUAGUGUAGGUGUAAGGGCUAUUUUUUGUGGUAAUGGGUUAACUGCUUUUGCAUAGGAUAACGGAGGAAACUCUGCUAAUGCAGAUAACUUGUUGGUAGUGGAUAUCUGUUUCCCUUGUAGGUGUGGUUGAGUCUUGACAUAAUCCGAUGCUGACAUUGGCCUUUUUUGUUCACGUAUUUUGAUGAUCUUGUGUUUUUUCCUGUAAAUACUCUCUUGUUAGAAAAUCUGGUAGGCAAUUAUUUUUUCCUUUUAUAUAUGGGAAAUUACCUAUAAUAACCCUUGUUCGGAAACUCGCUAGGCGUAACGCGUGCGGCUGACCAACGCCUAGCGAUUUAUCGAAAAAUCGGAAUUAAAUCGGAGAGUAAUCGGGGAUUUUUUUGUGGUUUUAAUUAUCACUAACAUGUAUAUAUUCCAUUUGUGAAUUCCAAAUAUAACUAAAACUAACGUCAAUGGUUUUGUUUAAACCUUUUAGGCCUACUAAAACAUGGUAUGAACCAUGAAUGGUGAUAUUUUAUAGUUUUUUAUUAUUUACUUUGUUUUAGUAAAUACAAAAAGACACGUAUGUCUUCUUCUUCCUCCUUAAUUUGGUUCUGCAAUUAAUCCUCUGUGUAUCCAUGUUCUUUCUUUAACUUUCUUUUUGUUUUUACUUGAUUUUCUUAACGUGGACACUAUAAUUACAUCAGAUCUACCAAUAUAAACAUUUUCAGAGAUUUUUUAACUUUCUGUAAACAACAUUACGCGGCCGUAGUGUCAAAAAAAAAACAUUACGCGGCCGUGUAACUUUAUACCACGUUCUCGGCGGUCAAAACGCGGGUCAAUGUGGAAUGCAUCCGAACUGGCCAAACUCGCCACGGUGACCCAACGUUUCACGAUUUUGCGGCCGUUUAUUUGGCAACUCGCCCGCUUUUAGAAUAACAUACAAAAAGUAAGAAAGGAAGAAAAAGUAAUGUAAAGUCCAAAAUACCCAAUCAAUUAGAUUAAUUAAAUAUAAAAUUAAAAAAACACUAAAAAGGUAACAAUUAAGAAAAAAACAUUCUUAAACUAAGACCAGAAGAAAUCCCUUUCCCCACUAAUGAACCCCUAAUCUCUAUUGAUUUCUCUGUUCUCAAAUCUCUUCGUCUUUUACUCGAUUUCGCAGAGAAUCGAUCUUGCUCUUACCCUUCUCUACCUUCAAAAGCUUCGAUUCACAAGGGAAGAAAGUUUGAAUCCCAGAAAUUCGACGAACCCUUAAUCCCCUUUCUAAAAUUAUGGGGAACCCUAAAACGUUCGAACAGGUCGUUUGUCACUGCACUAUGCAUUAUCACUACCCUAUCUCCUGCUCUUGUAUCUUCUGGGUUUCUUCCUGCAUUUUCUGAGGAUACUGCAAGAGCAGUAAAUUCUUGAUUCACUUCGGAGAUAUGAUGAGUUUAUGUAUGAAGAAGAGAGCGAGCCACCAGGAGAAUCCCAAGAGUGAAGUGUGUAUGUAUUUACAAAUGUAUAUAGAGAUUUGUUUCUGUUACAUGACUAAGAAGAAGAAAGAUGGAAGCCAAGUUUUGUAAAAAUCA